ACAUCAGCGGGCCAGCUCCUGUCAGGCAGGCGGCCGGCGAUUGGCCGGGAGGAGGCAGUCAUUCAAACUGCCUUUUGUGUUUGGCUAAUCAGGGCAGCCCAGGUUCCCAGCGGAGGUGCGUCUGUGGUGUCAGACACCUGUGUCUCAGCUCUGUCUUCCUCGGGCUGGCUCCUGCGGAUCCUUCCUGGGCCAGAACCGUGCCUCUAGGCCACCUCCCCCAAGCCACCAAGCCCCCGCGGUGGGCCAGCCUUGGCCCAGUGUCACGCAGGACAGAAAUGACCAACAGAUAACUGAGGACAAUGGACCUGCCUGGGCAUAGACUUCCUUAAGGGUCCCGCUUUGUCACCCAGCCUGGAAUGCAGUGGUGCGAUCUUGACUCACCGCAGCUUGGAUCUCCUGGGCUCAAGCGAUUCUCCCGUCUCAGCCUCCCGAAUAGCUGGGACUACAGCCUCUCCCCACCGGUCACUGUUAGCCUCGAGUUUGACCCUCAACAUCCCCAGAGGA
rnacentral:lncRNA from 1 species